GACGACCGCUGGCGGCGUGCUUAACACACGCAAGUCGACCGGAAAGGCCCUGCUUUUGUGGGGUGCUCGAGUGGCGAACGGGUGAGUAACACGUUAGUAACCUUCCCUUUACUUUGGGAUAACUUCAGGAAACUGGGGCUAAUACCCGAUAGGAGCUCCUGCUGCAUGGUGUGGGUUGGAAAGUUUCGGCGGUUGGGGAUGGACUCGCGGCUUAUCAGCUUGUUGGUGGGGUGGUGGCUUACCAGGGCUUUGACGGGUAGCCGGCACGAGAGCGUGACCGGCGACAUGGGGACUGCGAUACGGCGCAGACUGCAACGGGAGGCAGCAGGGGAGAAUAUUGCACAAUGGGCGGAAGCCUGAUGCAGCAACGCCGCGUGCGGGAUGACGGCCUUCGGGUUGUAAACCGCUGUCGCCGGUGACGAAGCGUGAGUGACGGUAACGGGUAAAGAAGCACCGGCUAACUACGUG
rnacentral:rRNA from 1 species